rnacentral:rRNA from 1 species
CGCAGGGGCGGCAGCUACACAUGCAGUCGAGCGGUAGAGAGAAGCUUGCUUCUCUUGAGAGCGGCGGACGGGUGAGUAAUGCCUAGGAAUCUGCCUGGUAGUGGGGGAUAACGUUCGGAAACGGACGCUAAUACCGCAUACGUCCUACGGGAGAAAGCAGGGGACCUUCGGGCCUUGCGCUAUCAGAUGAGCCUAGGUCGGAUUAGCUAGUUGGUGGGGUAAUGGCUCACCAAGGCGACGAUCCGUAACUGGUCUGAGAGGAUGAUCAGUCACACUGGAACUGAGACACGGUCCAGACUCCUACGGGAGGCAGCAGUGGGGAAUAUUGGACAAUGGGCGAAAGCCUGAUCCAGCCAUGCCGCGUGUGUGAAGAAGGUCUUCGGAUUGUAAAGCACUUUAAGUUGGGAGGAAGGGCAGUUGCCUAAUACGUAACUGUUUUGACGUUACCGACAGAAUAAGCACCGGCUAACUCUGUGCCAGCAGCCGCGGUAAUACAGAGGGUGCAAGCGUUAAUCGGAAUUACUGGGCGUAAAGCGCGCGUAGGUGGUUUGUUAAGUUGGAUGUGAAAUCCCCGGGCUCAACCUGGGAACUGCAUUCAAAACUGACUGACUAGAGUAUGGUAGAGGGUGGUGGAAUUUCCUGUGUAGCGGUGAAAUGCGUAGAUAUAGGAAGGAACACCAGUGGCGAAGGCGACCACCUGGACUGAUACUGACACUGAGGUGCGAAAGCGUGGGGAGCAAACAGGUAUCC